rnacentral:tRNA from 1 species
GCCUUCGUGGUGUAGUGGUCAGCCCACACGUCCAGUAUUCGAGAGGUCCGUGGUUCGAGUCCCGGCGAAGGCA